rnacentral:tRNA from 1 species
CCUUCGAUAGCUCAGUUGGUAUAGCGGUGGACUGUAGAGUUGUUGUUCUAAUGAUAUAAAGAAAUCCAUAGGUCGCUGGUUCAAAUCCGGCUCGAAGGA